rnacentral:rRNA from 1 species
CCCUUAGAUGUUCUGGGCCGCACGCGUGCUACACUGACCGGUGCAACAAGUUUCUUUCCUUGGCUCGAUAGGCCUGGGUAAUCUUUGAACACCGGUCGUGAUGGGGAUAGAUCCUUGCAAUUUUUGAUCUUCAACGAGGAAUUCCUAGUAAAUGCGAGUCAUCAUCUCGUGCUGAUUACGUCCCUGCCCUUUGUACACACCGCCCGUCGCUGCCCGGAACUGAGCCAUUUCGAGAAAAAUGGGGACAGACUGCUUGUGGGUGCGCAAGCACUUCUUGCAGAUUGAAACCAUCUUGAUCGGUAUGGCUUGAACCGGGCAAAANUCGUANCA